rnacentral:rRNA from 1 species
AGAGUUUGAUCCUGGCUCAGGAUGAACGCUAGCGACAGGCUUAACACAUGCAAGUCGAGGGGCAGCGGUGGAGAGAGCUUGCUCUCUUCAGCCGGCGACCGGCGCACGGGUGAGUAACACGUAUGCAACCUGCCCUUGACACUGGGAUAACCCGGAGAAAUCCGGACUAAUACCGGGCGACACCUUCGGAGGGCAUCCUCCUUAGGUCGAAGGAAGCGAUUCCGGUCAAGGAUGGGCAUGCGGCGCAUUAGCUAGUUGGCGGGGUAACGGCCCACCAAGGCGACGAUGCGUAGGGGUUCUGAGAGGAAGGUCCCCCACAUUGGUACUGAGACACGGACCAAACUCCUACGGGAGGCAGCAGUGAGGAAUAUUGGUCAAUGGGCGCGAGCCUGAACCAGCCAAGUCGCGUGAGGGAAGACGGCCCUACGGGUUGUAAACCUCUUUUGUCGGGGAGCAAGGACUGCCACGAGUGGCAGGGCGAGAGUACCCGAAGAAAAAGCAUCGGCUAACUCCGUGCCAGCAGCCGCGGUAAUACGGAGGAUGCGAGCGUUAUCCGGAUUUAUUGGGUUUAAAGGGUGCGUAGGCGGAAGUUCAAGUCAGCGGUAAAAUCGAGGGGCUCAACCCCUUUAAGCCGUUGAAACUGGGUUUCUUGAGUGGGCGAGAAGUGUGCGGAAUGUGUGGUGUAGCGGUGAAAUGCAUAGAUAUCACACAGAACUCCGAUUGCGAAGGCAGCACACCGGCGCCCAACUGACGCUGAGGCACGAAAGCGUGGGGAUCAAACAGGAUUAGAUACCCUGGUAGUCCACGCAGUAAACGAUGAACACUAGGUGUGCGGGUCGAAUGAGAUCUGCGUGCCACAGCGAAAGCGUUAAGUGUUCCACCUGGGGAGUACGCCGGCAACGGUGAAACUCAAAGGAAUUGACGGGGGCCCGCACAAGCGGAGGAACAUGUGGUUUAA